rnacentral:rRNA from 1 species
GAUGAACGCUGGCGGCGUGCUUAACACAUGCCAGUCGAACGGUGAAGGCGGAGCUUGCUCUGCUGGAUCAGUGGCGAACGGGUGAGUAACACGUGAGCAAUCUGCCCCUGACUCUGGGAUAAGCGCUGGAAACGGCGUCUAAUACUGGAUACGAGCUGCGAAGGCAUCUUCAGCAGCUGGAAAGAAUUUCGGUCAGGGAUGAGCUCGCGGCCUAUCAGCUUGUUGGUGAGGUAAUGGCUCACCAAGGCGUCGACGGGUAGCCGGCCUGAGAGGGUGACCGGCCACACUGGGACUGAGACACGGCCCAGACUCCUACGGGAGGCAGCAGUGGGGAAUAUUGCACAAUGGGCGAAAGCCUGAUGCAGCAACGCCGCGUGAGGGACGACGGCCUUCGGGUUGUAAACCUCUUUUAGCAGGGAAGAAGCGAAAGUGACGGUACCUGCAGAAAAAGCGCCGGCUAACUGCGUG